rnacentral:misc_RNA from 1 species
UAUAGUCAUCUGCUCUGAAUUAGCUGAAGAUGAACCGGUCAAGAGUGCAGAUUGGAAGUUUCAACUUGGACUGAAUGAUUAUGAUAGUAAUGGAUUCUUUACAUAGCUUCUGCUCUGGACUGAAUAAAUGAAGUAGAAAAGUUGGCUUUUAAUAAAACGAUUAAGAUGAUGGAAACGAAUUCAUUAUACAUAGGUUUAUGUCAUGGACAG